rnacentral:rRNA from 1 species
GAAUGCUGACAUAAGUAACGAUAAAGCGGGUGAAAAGCCCGCUCGCCGGAAGACCAAGGGUUCCUGUCCAACGUUAAUCGGGGCAGGGUGAGUCGACCCCUAAGGCGAGGCCGAAAGGCGUAGUCGAUGGGAAACAGGUUAAUAUUCCUGUACUUGGUGUUACUGCGAAGGGGGGACGGAGAAGGCUAUGUUAGCCGGGCGACGGUUGUCCCGGUUUAAGCAUGUAGGCUGGUUAUCCAGGCAAAUCCGGAUAAUCAAGGCUGAGGUGUGAUGACGAGGCACUACGGUGCUGAAGUAACAAAUGCCCUGCUUCCAGGAAAAGCCUCUAAGCAUCAGGUAACAUCAAAUCGUACCCCAAACCGACACAGGUGGUCAGGUAGAGAAUACCAAGGCGCUUGAGAGAACUCGGGUGAAGGAACUAGGCAAAAUGGUGCCGUAACUUCGGGAGAAGGCACGCUGGUGUGUAGGUGAAGUCCCUGCGGAUGGAGCUGAGACCAGUCGAAGAUACCAGCUGGCUGCAACUGUUUAUUAAAAACACAGCACUGUGCAAACACGAAAGUGGACGUAUACGGUGUGACGCCUGCCCGGUGCCGGAAGGUUAAUUGAUGGGGUUAUCCGUAAGGAGAAGCUCUUGAUCGAAGCCCCGGUAAACGGCGGCCGUAACUAUAACGGUCCUAAGGUAGCGAAAUUCCUUGUCGGGUAAGUUCCGACCUGCACGAAUGGCGUAAUGAUGGCCAGGCUGUCUCCACCCGAGACUCAGUGAAAUUGAACUCGCUGUGAAGAUGCAGUGUACCCGCGGCAAGACGGAAAGACCCCGUGAACCUUUACUAUAGCUUGACACUGAACAUUGAGCCUUGAUGUGUAGGAUAGGUGGGAGGCUUUGAAGCGUGGACGCCAGUCUGCGUGGAGCCAACCUUGAAAUACCACCCUUUAAUGUUUGAUGUUCUAACGUUGGCCCCUGACCGGGGUUGCGGACAGUGUCUGGUGGGUAGUUUGACUGGGGCGGUCUCCUCCCAAAGCGUAACGGAGGAGCACGAAGGUUAGCUAAUCCUGGUCGGACAUCAGGAGGUUAGUGCAAUGGCAUAAGCUAGCUUGACUGCGAGCGUGACGGCGCGAGCAGGUGCGAAAGCAGGUCAUAGUGAUCCGGUGGUUCUGAAUGGAAGGGCCAUCGCUCAACGGAUAAAAGGUACUCCGGGGAUAACAGGCUGAUACCGCCCAAGAGUUCAUAUCGACGGCGGUGUUUGGCACCUCGAUGUCGGCUCAUCACAUCCUGGGGCUGAAGUAGGUCCCAAGGGUAUGGCUGUUCGCCAUUUAAAGUGGUACGCGAGCUGGGUUUAGAACGUCGUGAGACAGUUCGGUCCCUAUCUGCCGUGGGCGCUGGAGAAUUGAGGGGGGCUGCUCCUAGUACGAGAGGACCGGAGUGGACGCAUCACUGGUGUUCGGGUUGUCAUGCCAAUGGCACUGCCCGGUAGCUAAAUGCGGAAGAGAUAAGUGCUGAAAGCAUCUAAGCACGAAACUUGCCCCGAGAUGAGUUCUCCCUGAGACUUUAAGUCUCCUGAAGGAACGUUGAAGACGACGACGUUGAUAGGCCGGGUGUGUAAGCGCAGCGAUGCGUUGAGCUAACCGGUACUAAUGAACCGUGAGGCUUAACCUUACAACGCCGAAG